GAUAUAGAGGACUCCAUUGACGACUUCAUGCAAGGUCUCGACGACAAAGACGCUAAGCCAGAUGGCUUCAUAAAGAAGAUCAAACACAUUCUCGGGACGUUGGGGAAGAGAAAGGCUCAUCAUCAGACGUUCCAAGAUUUGAUGAAUCAAGUCAUUGAGGCGGGUGAGAGGAAUCAAAGGUACAAGACACCUCAGGCCUUCUCCAACACAAAAAAUGGAACCGUUGACCCUAGGGCUCUUGCUAUCUUCGAGGAUGCCUCAAAGCUUGUCGGUAUUGACGAACCCAAGGCUGAGAUAAUCAGAUUGUUGACAGAAGGGAAUGUAUAUGCACCAGUGCAACAACAACAACCAAAAAUAGUCUCCAUCGUUGGAUCAGGAGGAAUGGGCAAGACAACCCUUGCAAACCAAGUGUAUCAAGACCUUAAAGGAAAAUUUGAGUGCCAGGCUUUCAUAUCAGUGUCACAAAAUCCGAACAUGAAGAAAAUCCUGAGAACUAUUCUCAGUGAAGUGUCAAAUAAAGAUUAUGCCCUCACCAAAGCUAGGGAUGAACAACAACUUAUCUCCAAG
rnacentral:rRNA from 1 species